GCCUAAGUUCCCUAGCAGUCCCAGGUGAGCCUGCAAUACUUCCUUACUAUGAUCAAGCCUCAUUGUGGAUGGUGUUGCUUGCUUAGAAUCUGAGAUUAUGAAAAAAUUCCAGGAAAAAUCUGGCUCAGGGAAAUAGAU
rnacentral:snoRNA from 1 species